rnacentral:misc_RNA from 1 species
UGGAAGUAAAGUCGUAACAGGUUCGUAGGUGAACCUGCGAAGAUCAUAAAAAUAUCACAGUUUUUGUGAUUUAAUAUCAUCCUACCUUUGUGAAUUUGUUUUGUAUGAAAAUUUAUGUGUCUAUCCCUGAUGGUUUUCUGGAAAAGUUGAAAAACUUUUUCAAUCCUCAGGGACUAGGCUUUCAUAGACCUUUUUUUUAAAUUAACUUUUGUAUUCAUUGUCUAAAUUUAUUUUUAAUAAUUUAAAAACAACUUUUGACAAUGGAUCCUUGGUUCUCGCAACGAUGAAGAACGCAGCAAAUGCGAUAAGUAAUGUGAAUUGCAGAAUACGUGAAUCAUCAAAUCUUCGAACGCAUAUUGCACUUUUUAGUUUACUAAAAAGUGUCUGUUUGAGUAUCAGUAAAUAUUCUCAUAAAACAUUGUUUUUAUGGUUAUGAGUGUUUACAACGAUAACAAGUUGUUUCACUUUAAAUUGAUUUUAAAUAACCAAUUUGGUUUUAUUAUAAAAUUGAUAAAAUUUCCCGUAAAAGGAAUAACUUUUCAGUUUUAAAUAAAUCUUAAUUGACUUUUUAAAAGGAAAUUUAUUAAAUAACUUGAUCUCAAAUCAGAUAAGAGUACCCGCUGAACUUAAGCAUAUCAAUAAGCGAGGAAAAGAAACUAACAAGGAUUCCCUUAGUAACGGCGAGUGAAGCGGGAAGAGCUCAAAUUUGAAAUCUUCAGGUUCUACCUGACGAAUUGUAGUUUAUAGAAGUGUUUCUGUUAGUGAGUGGCAAAAGUUCUUGGAAUAGGACAUCAUAGGGUGAGAAUCCCGUAUUUGGUCAUUCUCUAGCUUUGUGAUACACUUUCAACGAGUCGGAUUGUUGGGAAUGCAGUCCAAAUGGGUGUAAAUUUCAUCUAAGCUAAAUAUUGGCGAGAGACCGAUAGCGAACAAGUACCGUGAGGGAAAGAUGAAAAACUUUGAAAGAGAGUUAAACAGUACGUGAAAUUGUCAAAAGGGAAGCGUUUGACACCAGUGUUGUUUUCCGAAAUCAAUUACGAAGUUUUUUUUAAGAGUUAUGACUUCAUCGGCUUGCUCUUUCUUUACGAAACUUUCUUAAUGCACUUUCGGUUAACAAGUCAACAUCAAUUUCUUUGUUGUAAAGGUAUGAGGAAGGUGCUUUCUUUUCGGAGAAAUGUUUAUAGCUUGUACCCUGCAAUCGGAGAGAUUGAGGUCUGCAGCGUAAUCCUUCGGGUUAGAUACAUUUGUGCUAAGUUAUAGCUUUCAUAGACACUUGUUGACUAUGUUAGUCUUGUAGCUUACUCGCUGAUGCUAUUUUACCUACGCUUAGGAUGUUGAA